CUCUUGCUCCGCUGACAGGAACAAGAGCCUCUUCCUUGCAUGGCCUCCUGUUCCACUUCUUCCAGAGGCCUGUGAGUGUGAGGAUCGAUCCCCAUGCUACGGAGCUUCUUCUUGAGUGACCAUCUGCAGAUAAUAUGAAACCAUGGAUUAGGAUUUGGAAAUUCAGACUUUUGGACAAAGCAUCUUAGCAUGUGAAUGAGAGAGAUCAAGGAGAAGACAUGAUAAUUCAGUCCAGUGCAAGCCGGCAGAAACUCAAGCAGCUCUCCAUUUUUACCUGUUACCAAGCAGCGAAUGCAACUUAAUGAUGAGCUCGUCCUCCUCCUCGGUGAUGUUUCCUCGUUUGAGAUCAGGCCGGAGGUAAUUGAUCCACCUCAGCCUGCAACUUUUACCACACCGUCUAAGUCCUGUGCAACAAAAAAAAACAUGAGCGUAAGGAUCCUUCGCCGUGUGCGGUAAUAUACUUGAUCAGGAGAGCAUCCUCCUCUCUCGUCCAGGGGCCCCUGUUGAGUCCCACUUUUUCGCAACAUGGAGCCCGCCCCAUC